GACGAACGCUGGCGGCGUGCUUAACACAUGCAAGUCGAACGGUGAAGCGCCUUCCUUUUUGGUGGGUGUGGAUGAGUGGCGAACGGGUGAGUAACACGUGAGUAACCUGCUCCCUUCUUCCGGAUAACCGCAUGAAAGUGUGGCUAAUACGGGAUAUUUUGGGUCUGUCGCAUGAUGAGUCUGGGACAGUUUUUGUUUCGGUGGGGGAUGGGGUCGCGGCUUAUCAGCUUGUUGGUGGGGUGAUGGCCUACCAAGGCGGUGACGGGUAGCCGGCCUGAGAGGGUGGGCGGCACCACAGGGGAUAAAACGCCGACAAUACUCCGACGGGCAGCAGCAGGGGGGAAUACGGCACGGGGGGAGCAAGGCUGAUGCAGCGACGCCGCGGGGGUGAUGGAGGCCUGCGGGUUGAAAUCCUCUUUCGCCAGUGAAGCAGGCCGGCAUUGUUUGUGCGUGGGUUGACGGUAGCUGGAUAAGAAGCGCCGGCUAACUACGUG
rnacentral:rRNA from 1 species